rnacentral:rRNA from 1 species
UACCAGCACCCCGAGUGGUCGGGACGAUUAUUGGGCCUAAAGCAUCCGUAGCCGGUCAUGCAAGUCCUCCGUUAAAUCCAGCCGCUCAACGGUUGGGCUGCGGAGGAUACUACGUGGCUAGGAGGCGGGAGAGGCAAGCGGUACUCAGUGGGUAGGGGUAAAAUCCUUUGAUCCAUUGAAGACCACCAGUGGCGAAGGCGGCUUGCCAGAACGCGCUCGACGGUGAGGGAUGAAAGCGUGGGGAGCAAACAGG